GCCGCAUCUGUGACAUAUGGAAGUUCCCAGGCUAAGGUUCAAAUAUGAACUGCAGCUGAGACCUCUGCCACAGCCACAGCAACACCAUAUCCAAGUCGCAUGUGUGACCUAUGCCACAGCUUGCGACAACACCAGACCCUUAACCCACUGAUCGAGGCCAGGGAUUGAACCCUCAUCCUCACGGACACUAUAUUGGGAUCUUAAUCCAUUGAGUCACAAUAGGAACUCUGACCCCAUGGGAUUUUCUUGUUGUUGUUGUUUUUCAAAGACAAUCGCUUCUUCCUGGAUUGGUAUUGUGUGAGAGGGGUUCAGGGCUAAAAUGAAUAGAUCUCUAACCAAAGAUCUUAAUAGGGAUAAAAAUUACUUUUGACAAAUCCCACUCUAAAUCAUUGUAGUGGGCAACUCUGAGCACCAAAAACGAACAAGAGUUACAAUGUCUGAGGGCUUUGUCUCCUUUGUCAACAAGAAUAUGUGGUUUAGAGGUACAAGCCACCAACCAGUGACCCCCUGGAAGGCCACCACCAAGAGAGCUGCUUCCUGACUCCAUUUCUGGGUGACCCUGUCUGUGGCUUGCUGAGGAGUCUACUGAUGUUCUACCCUAACUCCCACCCUUGCUGCUGUUACUCCCCUGAGUAACAGAACCCUGAGUUUAUUUCAGGCAACAGUGUACCCAACUAAACAGGUCCCAGCCUUCCUUGCAGCUAAGUGUGGCCAUGUGGUUAGAGUCUGCCCAAUGAGGUAUAAGCUGAGAAGUUGUCAGUGGAUUCCAGAAAGUCUCAUUAAAAGGGAGGGGACCCUUUUACCUCUUUUCACUGCUCCUUCCUGUUGCCUGGAAUGAGGUGAUGGUUGCUGAGCUCAAGCAGCCAUCUUGGACUUAGAUGAUGCGAGGAGGAAAGCUUCCUGGUGGCAGAGUUCCCAAUGGGGCUCAGCAGGUUUAAAACCCAAUGUAGUCUCUGUAAGUAUGCGGCUUCGAUGCCUGGCCUCACUCAGUGGGUUAAGGAUCUAAUGUUGCCACAAGCUGUAGCAUAGUUUGCAGAUGUGGCUUGAACCUGAUAUUGCUGUGGCUGUAGCGUAGGCUGGCAGCUGCAGCUCUGAUUUGACCCCUAGCCCAGGAACUUCCAUAUGCUGCAGGUGCAGCUGUAAAAAGAAAAAAAAAAACAACCCAAAAAAACAAAAAACUUCUUGCUACUCUUUAAGGGUCUUUGUCAUCGUCAGCAGAUGCAGUUUCUAACUGAUAUGUGGAAGCUCACUGGGCCUCAUUUUGUGGAAGGGCAAAGGUGUCCACAGUUCCUCUAAGCCAACUGCUACUUCUGCUCUCUCUGGAAGAAUCAUCCUGCCCAAGAGGGCCCAAUUCUUUCACAACUUUC
rnacentral:lncRNA from 1 species